UCACAGAUCUACCUCCUGUCUUCCCUCAGAAAAGAGACACCUUCUCAGGACAACAACCAUACUCAGCUUAACAAUCCACAAUAAAGCCAGGUCAAAGUUAAAAUGGAAAGAAAUAGAGAGAAAGAAAAAAUAAGAAGAGGCAGCAAGCACACUGUAGCUGAUGGAAUAUCAAAGAAGAAUCUGAUGUUACAGAGCUCCAUGUUGCAAAUCUCAGACUUUCCUGAAGGCUGAUUCUAAAACCCCAUUGUAUGGGAUUAGGGUGAAGAUUCAGCAUUUAAGAGAAUGUACUAAUUUUCUAAAGGACUAGUCUUCAGACCCCAGGACUCAUACUGGGCAGCUCACAACCUCCUGUAAGUCAAGCUCCAGGUGAUCCAUGCAACAAUAAAUCUUUAUAACCAUUUUGCUA
rnacentral:lncRNA from 1 species